rnacentral:lncRNA from 1 species
CCCGCGCUCCUCCGGGCAGAGCGCGUGUGGCGGCCGAGCACAUGGGCCCGCGGGCCGGGCGGGCUCGGGGCGGCCGGGACGAGGAGGGGCGACGACGAGCUGCGAGCAAAGAUGUGCCCCGGGACCCCCGGCACCUUCCAGUGGAUUUCCUUGCGGAAAGGAUGUUGGCGGUCCCUGUGACCUGUGGAGACACGGCCAGAUCUGCCCUCCAGAUUUAUUAGGAGAAAAACCUUCCCGGAAGCUGCAGAAGGACAAAUACAGAAUCCGUGUCUGGGAGAAACCUCGUGGCCUGGUCUCCAUUAUUUGAGAUGAGUUACAUCUUGGAGGCCUGAUCUUUUGGCCAGAAGGAGAUUAAAAAGAUGCCCCUCAAGAUGGCUGUGCCUGUCAGCUGCAUGGAGCUUCGUUCAAGUAUUUUCUGAGCCUGAUGGAUUUACAGUGAUCUUCAGUGGUCUGGGGAAUAACGCUGGUGGAACCAUGCACUGGAAUGACACACGCCCGGCACAUUUCAGGAUACUAAAAGUGGUUUUAAGGGAGGCUGUGGCUGAAUGCCUCAUGGAUUCUUACAGCUUGGAUGUCCAUGGGGGACGAAGGACUGCAGCUGGCUGAGAGGGUUGAGAUCUCUGUUUACUUAGAUCUCUGCCAACUUCCUUUGGGUCUCCCUAUGGAAUGUAAGACCCCGACUCUUCCUGGUGAAGCAUCUGAUGCACGUUCCAUCCGGCGCUCAGCUGGGCUUGAGAAUCAAGAGAUGCAUAUGCAGGUUUGUUACAGAGGUAUAUGGGAUGCGGUUGAAGUUUGGAGUAUGAUUGAACUCAUCACGCAGCUGACCAUACUCCCUGGAGCCUUCUCCCGAGGUGCGCGGGUGACCUUGGCACAUACAGCCAUCAUGAUGGUACUUUAAGUGGAGGCUGAAUCAUCUCCCCUUUGAGCUGCUUGGCACGUGGCUCCCUUGGUGUUCCCCUUUUACUGCCAGGACACUGAGAUUUGGAGAGACCCCGGCCUUUCCAGGAUGCCUUUUGGAGCCCCUGCUGGCCACCACAUAUCAUGUUCUGAAGUUCUACAGCCCUCUGAGUUGGACACUGACCAUCUGGGGGCUCGAGUCAUCCUCAGAUUGAAUCCUGUUACACCUGGGAUUUAGGCACUUUCAAUCUGAAAAAAUACAUAUCCUUUCAGCACUCUGGACGGACUUGAGAACUGUCCUUACGUGACCUAAAGCUGGAGUAUUUUGAGAUUGGAGAAUUAAGAGUGUGGGCACCCUGGCUUCAAGCUCACGAGAAACCAGAAGGAAGUCACUGUGCAUAGCCAUCCCCUAAGAAGAGGGCAUUCCUGCUCUUCCUUCUCCAUGGCUAGAGGAUCUACAUGAACUAUUUAGAUUUUUUCUACCUGGGAGAUUUAACUCCUCUCUCCUAUUUAUUUAUUUAUAUAUCAGCAUGGACUUGCAGGCCAACAGAGAUUUUGAGAAACACAUUGAAGGAUCUGUUAACACUUGAUAUACCCAAUAAAAGCAGUGGUUGUGCCAGUGCUGAUCUGUCUUGAUGUGAAUGUGAACAAUGGGAACCUGAGCUGAGCAGUUAAUGCUAGGGUGACAGAAACUGGACCUCUCCCAAGACAUGUGACAGAGUAAUACAGCAGCCAACUUCUUCGCCAAAUUAAAGUUUUACAAGAUUUAACCUGUCAUCAAGACCUGGGAUUUUGGUGAAGGACAGAAUAACGGGCUCCCAGAUUCACAAGCCCCACCAAGAGGAUCACCCCAGGAACGCUUGGAGGCUGAGGAGUUCACUGAGGCUACUGCAUCUUGAGACUCAGGAUGAAGACCCAGCUUGGGGCUGUCAAAGGUUUUUUGCAUGUCUGACACCCAUGACUCCACCUGGACCUUAUGGCUCCACCCAGAAGCAAUUCAGCCCAACAGGAGGACAGCUUCAACCCAUUACGAUUUCAUCUCUGCCCCAACCACUCAGCAGCAAGCACCUGUUACCUGUCCACCCCCACCCCUUCCCCCAAACUGCCUUUGAAAAAUCCCUAACCUAUGAGCUUUGAAUAAGAUGAGUACGAACUUCAUCGCCCACGUGGCGUGGCCGGCCUCGUGUCUAUUAAAUUCUUUUUCUACUACAA